rnacentral:snRNA from 1 species
GGACGUAAGGGUGACCUGGCCAUGACAUCUGCCACUCUACUGAUUGCCAGGGUUAAUUAGCUGACCUGGCGGGCUUUAUGAUGUCCUCUUCUGUGUCACUGCUCCACAAGUGUCCUUCCCAAAUCUGUGUGCUCAGGUGUACCCUCACCAGCUGAGGGCCCUUCUUUAACUGAGCGCAUGCAGAUACUACUCCCUGAGGAAGCCUCCUCACAAGCUCUUAAGAAUCAGGCAGCUCCGGGGGGAGGGUAUAGGGGACGUUUGGGAUAGCAUUUGAAAUGUAAAUGAAGAAAAUAUCUAAUAAAAAAUGU